rnacentral:rRNA from 1 species
GACAGAGGAUGCAAGCGUUAUCCGGAAUGAUUGGGCGUAAAGCGUCUGUAGGUGGCUUUUUAAGUCCGCCGUCAAAUCCCAGGGCUCAACCCUGGACAGGCGGUGGAAACUACCAAGCUGGAGUACGGUAGGGGCAGAGGGAAUUUCCGGUGGAGCGGUGAAAUGCGUAGAGAUCGGAAAGAACACCGAUGGCGAAGGCACUUUACUGGGCUAUUACUAACACUCAGAGACGAAAGCUAGGGUAGCAAAUGGG